rnacentral:rRNA from 1 species
UACGAAGGGGGCUAGCGUUGUUCGGAAUCACUGGGCGUAAAGGGUGCGUAGGCGGGUUUCUAAGUCAGGGGUGAAAUCCUGGAGCUCAACUCCAGAACUGCCUUUAAUACUGAAGAUCUUGAGUCCGGGAGAGGUGAGUGGAACUGCGAGUGUAGAGGUGAAAUUCGUAGAUAUUCGCAAGAACACCAGUGGCGAAGGCGGCUCACUGGCCCGAUACUGACGCUGAGGUGCGAAAGCGUGGGGAGCAAACAGG